GCUGCAUCUCCCCCUCGACGGAUCAGCCUGGAUCCUAACAGUACUUGAUGCACUGAGCAGUGACAUUUUACAUAGAGUAGUUAAGCAGGAUUUGGUAUCCGCAAAAUGGUUCGAGGUCCUCAGCCCUCGCCUCCCCCAGCACAGAGGAAAACUACCAAGGGCGGUACUCUCAUUAUAGGAGAUUCAAUUGUUAGACAUUUAAAAGUAUCUAAGAGUAAUGGCACAAUUUCAUGUCUUCCAGAUGCUUGCAUGCUGGUAGUCGGCAAGCGGCUCCCUGGGGCGCAUUGCCAAAGCAGGAACCCCGGCACCAUCGCCCUCCACGUGGGGAUGAGCUUUCGGGAGCGACCGGCCCCGUUCCACAGAGACAGGCUUCUCUCUGUGAACAUCGAGGCGGUGCUACGCUGAGACUGACUGUCUCUACCCAGUCACACCAGCCAAGCUGCACUGUAGUGGUGUUAAGUGUCCAAGAAUGCUCUCAUCAGUGGAGGCACAGCUGGCUGCAAAAAACGUCUGUGUCUGCAUGUUUAUAUUAUGUGAAUUAAAAAUGGUUUUAUUAUUAAAAUAAUUGUAUUAAUGCCUGUUGAUUUAUAAAUUGUUUAAUUGAAAUCAAAUUUUAUUUAAGUAGCUUAAUUAAGUAUUGCAUUUAUAACUGAUGGUAUUUUAUUUAAUUAGCUUAAGUAUUGCAUUUAUAAGUGAUGGUAUU